GAGUUUGAUCAUGGCUCAGGAUGAACGCUGGCGGCGUGCUUAACACAUGCAAGUCGAACGAACCUUCGGGUUAGUGGCGGACGGGUGAGUAACGCGUGGGAAUCUGCCCUCAGGAGGGGGAUAACGGUUGGAAACGACCGCUAAUACCCCAUAUGCCGAGAGGUGAAAUGAAUUUCGCCUGAGGAUGAGCCCGCGUCUGAUUAGCUUGUUGGUGAGGUAAUGGCUCACCAAGGCUUCGAUCAGUAGCUGGUCUGAGAGGAUGAUCAGCCACACUGGGACUGAGACACGGCCCAGACUCCUACGGGAGGCAGCAGUGGGGAAUUUUCCGCAAUGGGCGAAAGCCUGACGGAGCAACGCCGCGUGAGGGAUGAAGGCCUCUGGGCUGUAAACCUCUUUUCUCAAGGAAGAAGAUAUGACGGUACUUGAGGAAUAAGCCACGGCUAAUUCCGUGCCAGCAGCCGCGGUAAUACGGGAGUGGCAAGCGUUAUCCGGAAUUAUUGGGCGUAAAGCGUCCGCAGGCGGCCUUUCAAGUCUGCUGUUAAAACGUGGAGCUUAACUCCAUCAUGGCAGUGGAAACUGAUUGGCUUGAGUAUGGUAGGGGCAGAGGGAAUUCCCGGUGUAGCGGUGAAAUGCGUAGAUAUCGGGAAGAACACCAGUGGCGAAGGCGCUCUGCUGGGCCAUUACUGACGCUCAUGGACGAAAGCCAGGGGAGCGAAAGGGAUUAGAUACCCCUGUAGUCCUGGCCGUAAACGAUGAACACUAGGUGUCGGGGGAAUCGACCCCUUCGGUGUCGUAGCUAACGCGUUAAGUGUUCCGCCUGGGGAGUACGCACGCAAGUGUGAAACUCAAAGGAAUUGACGGGGGCCCGCACAAGCGGUGGAGUAUGUGGUUUAAUUCGAUGCAACGCGAAGAACCUUACCAGGGCUUGACAUCCUGCGAACCUUUAAGAAAUUAGAGGGUGCCUUCGGGAACGCAGUGACAGGUGGUGCAUGGCUGUCGUCAGCUCGUGUCGUGAGAUGUUGGGUUAAGUCCCGCAACGAGCGCAACCCACGUUUUUAGUUGCCAGCAUUUAGUUGGGCACUCUAGAAAGACCGCCGGUGAUAAACCGGAGGAAGGUGUGGAUGACGUCAAGUCAUCAUGCCCCUUACGUCCUGGGCUACACACGUACUACAAUGCUACGGACAAAGGGCAGCAAACUCGCGAGAGCUAGCAAAUCCCAUAAACCGUGGCUCAGUUCAGAUCGUAGGCUGCAACUCGCCUACGUGAAGUAGGAAUCGCUAGUAAUCGCAGGUCAGCAUACUGCGGUGAAUACGUUCCCGGGCCUUGUACACACCGCCCGUCACACCAUGGAAGUUGGCCACGCCCGAAGUCGUUACUUUAACCCUUGUGGAGAAGGACGCCGAAGGUGGGGCUGAUGACUGGGGUGAAGUCGUAACAAGGUAACC
rnacentral:rRNA from 1 species